rnacentral:sRNA from 1 species
AGCAGCCGCGGUAAUUCCAGCUCCAAUAGCGUAUAUUAAAGUUGUUGCAGUUAAAAAGCUCGUAGUUGAAUUUCGAGAUCAAAUUGUUGGUCGUGCCUCGGUACGUACUGGCAUUAUUGAUUUCUCCCUUCUGACGAUCCGCGAUGUCAUUAAUUUGGUGUCGUGGGGAAUCAGGACUGUUACUUUGAAAAAAUUAGAGUGUUUAAAGCAGGCUCACGCUUGAAUACAUUAGCAUGGAAUAAUGAAAUAGGACGUUUGAUUCUAUUUUGUUGGUUUCUAGGAUCGACGUAAUGAUUAAUAGGGAUAGUUGGGGGCAUUAGUAUUCAAUUGUCAGAGGUGAAAUUCUUGGAUUUAUUGAAGACUAACUACUGCGAAAGCAUUUGCCAAGGAUGUUUUCAUUAAUCAAGAACGAAAGUUAGGGGAUCGAAGACGAUCAGAUACCGUCGUAGUCUUAACCAUAAACUAUGCCGACUAGGGAUCGGAUGAUGUUAAUUUUUAAUGA